GACGAACGCUGGCGGCGUGCUUAACACAUGCAAGUCGAACGGAAAGGCCCUUCGGGGUACUCGAGUGGCGAACGGGUGAGUAACACGUGGGUGAUCUGCCCUGCACUUUGGGAUAAGCCUGGGAAACUGGGUCUAAUACCGCAUAUGAUCAUCAGCUUCAUGGUUGGUGGUGGAAAGCUUUUGCGGUGUGGGAUGGGCCCGCGGCCUAUCAGCUUGUUGGUGGGGUAUGGGCCUACCAAGGCGACGACGGGUAGCCGGCCUGAGAGGGUGACCGGCCACACUGGGACUGAGAUACGGCCCAGGCUCCUACGGGAGGCAGCAGGGGGGAAUAUUGCACAAUGGGCGCAAGCCUGAUGCAGCGACGCCGCGUGAGGGAUGACGGCCUUCGGGUUGUAAACCUCUUUCAGCACAGACGAAGCGCAAGUGACGGUAUGUGCAGAAGAAGGACCGGCCAACUACGUGCCAGCCGCCGCCGUAAGAC
rnacentral:rRNA from 1 species